AAAAGGACAUUACUCGAGGACACCCAGUAACCAGUUCCCAAUGGAUCAUUGAAGUUAAGCAACGUUGCGCGUGGUUUGUAUCCGGAUGGGUGACCAUCUGGGCAAUCGCGUACUGCUGGCU
rfam:Asian citrus Psyllid, Diaphorina citri - Florida Strain, whole genome shotgun sequence.